rnacentral:rRNA from 1 species
AUGGAGGUCUUGGGCAUGGAGGGUGUACAACGAAUUUCUUCAUGUACUUGGGAGUCACAUAUCUGUACUCCCUCCAUUCUCUGGCCCAUCUCCUCUCUAUCUUCUGAAUGCGCACUUUGCGCUCAUUCUUCGCUUCAUGAGGAGGAGUGCAGUAUCCUGCAUAGAUGUCAUUAG